AAUCAUAAGGGAGGUAAUUUAAUCAGUCAUGCAUGUGUAAUAGAAUCUCCAUAAAAACCUUCAGCAACAGGGUUUGGAGAACUUCCUGGUUGGUGAACACACGGAAGUGCUAGGAAGGUGACAUACCUGGAAACUCUGUGCCCUAACUCAUGUAUCUUCUUCUAUACAUCUCUUCCAUUGGGCUGUUCCUGCACUGUAUCCUCUAUGACAAACAAGCAAUAGUCCGAGAAGCUGGAUAUUUGGCCACUAAAUACAUCUUAAAAAAAGAUGGUCUCCAUGAAAGCAGGGACCUGGUCUGCAUUGAGAAAGGCGGAGAAUCCAGCAUUAAAAACUAAAACAGAAGAAAAAGUGGCCUGGACCCUGUCGACCUUGGCAAGUAUUUACGGAAGAAAUGAAAGAAGUAUCUUGGCACUGGGAGCCACGUGACCUGGUUUUCUUUGCAGCUAUACUCCUAACUAAAUCUGUGACCUUUGUCAAAUCCAUUGAUGCUAAGAGCUUGGAUUCUUUGUCCUACAAAUGGAUACAUGAAGCAUAUGUGCUUCUGCUCCGCCCUGCUGCACCCAUGAUGGGCAUCUUUAGUUGAUCUUGUCACUUUUCCACCAAACCAUAUGGGCCUCACAUUCUUUGUCAACACAGCACUCCAAGCAGCCACGAUUAAGACUUUGCUGAUGGCAUCUGAAAUAAAACAGUUUUCUCCCACCA